rnacentral:pre_miRNA from 1 species
CGUGCACCAGUGGGGUCCCUCGGCCUGGCCUGUGGGAUCGGUCCCAAACUGGCUUUCUGACAUCCCCUGAGGGGUCCCGAAUUGUGAGAGGGCGCAGGCCAGGCUGAGGGACCCCACCGGUGCACU